GUUUGGGGUCCUUGGAGACCCUGUGGGUCUCUUGUCUACCUUCAUCCUUCAGUUACGGUUUUCUUUUUCACAUCAAAGGACUUGAAGGGCUUGUAUAACCACCUGACUGGGACUGUGAGGGAGUCAAAUUUGUAAAUCGGAAAACCAUUAGAGUCUACAAUGGAAAAAACAGAAAAGAAAAACUCAGUCAAACAACAUUUUAUAAUUACAUAAUAGUCCCUGCCAAGCAUUUAUCUUUCUACUUCCACCCACAUUUGUCAGAAAACAGUAGAAUUACAUUACCUUACCCGUUUGAGCAAAGCUAGCUGCAAAAAACCAAAAGAGAAAGUGACCUAUGAUUUGCAUUGGCAUUGCCUAUCCUGUUAUUGCUGUCAAGAGAGAGAAAAAAAACCAACCCAAUAAAAAUGUAGAGAGAGAAAGUUAUCAGGAAGAGAGAGAAGAGGGAGAGAGAAAGUUGCAGGUUUUAUUGCAGAGCUCUUGCAGAGUGACUAUUUUAACUUUUUCUGUGAAAUAAUUCUCUCUCUUUCUAGCUGUUGCUAUUUCCUCUCUCUCUCUUUCUCUGUUUCUUUCUCUAGCAGUUGUAGCUUUGGUACUGAACAACUCAAUGAGAGCACUGUAUCUUACAGGCCUAUCUUGCCAGACCGAUGUGAUUGAACAAGCAAGGCUAUAAGCCACUGCUCUUCUUCUUCUUCUCAUUAUAGAUACCCAAAAUUUAAACAAGAAAAAAAAAACAAAAGAAAAAAUAGAACCCCUUCUCUCACUUCAUAACUUCACUGCAGUAGCUACAUUCAAUGCCGGCGACUUCAACGAGAACUUUAACUAUUUCUUCUCCUUCCUUUUUUGCUUAUUUCGAGUUCUAACUGAAGGGAAAAAGGCUAAGCUUUUGGGUCAGUGGUGCUUAGACGUUGUUGUGCAAGAGUUGGAAGGGAUGUGUAGUGUGGUUUGAAAAUAGGGUCUUUUUAGGAGGGUAAUUAUGGCAUUUUGGGUGAAAUUUGUCUUCCUGGCUCUUCUCCUUGGCUUGGGUUUUGGUGCUGUGGAUUCCGACGACGGAGCAACGCUAUUGGAGAUAAAGAAGUCAUUUAGAGAUGUAGACAAUGUUCUAUAUGACUGGACAGACUCCCCAUCUUCAUCUUCAGACUACUGUGUUUGGAGAGGAGUCACUUGUGAUAAUGCCACCUUCAAUGUCAUUGCUCUUAAUCUGUCAGGUUUGAAUCUUGACGGGGAGAUUUCGCCUGCAAUUGGAAAUCUCAAAGACCUGCUUUCUAUUGAUCUCAGGGGAAAUCGUCUCUCUGGGCAGAUCCCUGAUGAGAUUGGUGACUGCUCAUCUUUGAAAAGCCUGGACCUGUCUUUUAAUGAGAUAUAUGGAGACAUACCGUUUUCAAUUUCAAAGUUGAAGGAACUAGAAUUUCUGAUUUUGAAGAAUAAUCAAUUGGUUGGGCCAAUUCCAUCCACUCUGUCUCAGGUUCCAAACUUGAAAGUUUUAGAUCUGGCACAGAAUAAACUCAGUGGUGAGAUACCUAGAUUAAUAUACUGGAAUGAAGUAUUGCAGUAUCUUGGUUUACGAGGAAACAAUUUGGUGGGUACACUCUCUCCAGAUAUGUGCCAACUGACUGGGCUAUGGUAUUUUGAUGUAAGAAACAACAGUUUAACUGGGAGUAUUCCUGAACUUAUAGGCAACUGUACUUCCUUCCAGGUCUUGGACUUAUCUUACAACCAGCUAACAGGAGAGAUUCCAUUCAACAUUGGGUUCUUACAAGUGGCCACAUUAUCGUUGCAAGGUAAUCAGCUUGGGGGGAAGAUUCCAUCAGUGAUUGGGCUAAUGCAGGCACUUGCUGUAUUAGAUCUAAGCUGCAACAUGUUGACUGGGCCUAUCCCUCCUAUUUUGGGAAAUUUGACUUACACAGAGAAACUGUAUUUGCAUGGAAAUAAGCUGACUGGAUCCAUUCCCCCUGAGCUUGGGAAUAUGACACGGCUACACUACUUGUAUGAGCAUUUUGCCUACACUUUUUUUGGAGCUUAAUUGAUUUUCUUUUUGAAUUGCAUGUCUAACAAGUGCAGUAAUCAUUUGCAUGGUCAAAUGCAUUCUGAGAACUUCUUGGCUUUCUUUAUAAUGACUUCUGUAGCCAUUUUGACAUCAUUUUUUAAGAAUAUCAUAACAGUCCCAGAUAUUUCACUAAAUGAUUCUCUGCCCUUAUCUGUCUAUUUACCACCAAUGUCAUGGUUGGAUUACAUGAUGCAAUAUAUGCAUAUGUAUUCCUCCAUAGUCCUAAUUGUGAACCAAGGUUGUAAUGGAGAAGUAGCUGUUAAGCAAAAUUUUUUCUUUUAGGCAUUCUCAUAAUGGGUGACUCCAUACAUAGUUUUUUGUUCUAUUUAUUUGUAUGCAGUGUUUAUGAGCAUAUUUGGUUUUUGGUUUAGUUUAAGUACAUUGGAUUUGAGAACUUGGGGAUCUGCAUCUUUAUGGCUUAUAAAAUAUUGGCUGUGAUGUGUGUUUUUGAGAAUCCCAUGUUUUCUUCAUGAUGGAUAUGUGGAAAGUAUAUCAGUAUUUGAUGUGGGGAAGUACAUCACUAUUUGAAGUGCUACUAUGCCCUUUCAGGGAAUUAAAUGAUAAUCAACUCACGGGGCGCAUCCCAGCAGAGCUUGGAAAACUCACUGACUUGUUUGAUCUAAAUGUUGCCAACAACCACCUUGAAGGGCCUAUACCUGAUAAUCUCAGCUCGUGCACAAAUCUCAACAGCCUCAAUGUGCAUGGUAACAAGUUGAAUGGAAGUAUCCCGCGAGCUUUUCAAAGGCUAGAGAGUAUGACAUAUUUGAAUCUCUCCUCCAAUAACAUUAGGGGUAUUGUUCCUAUUGAGCUAUCUAGGAUUGGUAAUUUGGAUACUUUGGAUAUUUCUAAUAACAAAAUUGGUGGGUCCAUUCCUUCUUCACUUGGUGACUUGGAACAUCUCCUAAAGCUGAAUUUAAGUAGAAACCAACUAUCAGGAGUUAUUCCAGCAGAGUUUGGUAACCUGAGAAGUGUUAUGGAGAUAGAUCUUUCAAAUAAUCAUCUUUUGGGAGCGAUUCCUGACGAACUUAGUCAACUUCAAAACAUAUUCUCAUUGUAAGCUGGAAUUUCUGGCCUACAUAAACUGUAACCUCAUGCUAAUUCUGAAUAUUUGGCUUUUGUUUUUGUUUAAUAGCCUUGUUAUCAUAAUUAUUUUAUUAACAAGUUUUAGAGCUAUUGGAACAGAUCCCUUAACUGCAAUUAAGUAGGAUUGUGACUGCCUCUGUUGAUGUGUUAUUUGUCAUUAUUUUGCUCAUAGUUUCAAUUAUGGUUUUAAUUUUUAAUGCAAAAUAUUGCAGGAGACUUGAAAAUAAUAAUCUUUCAGGAGAUGUUACGUCUCUGAUCAACUGCCUUAGUCUCACUGUCUUGUAAGUGUACAUACUGGAAUUUAUCCUUUUUUUUCUGACUGACGCAUGAAUGUUUAAUUAAAGGGGCUGAGAUUACACAAACAAAAUUAUUCUAAAUGCAUGAUGCAGGAAUGUUUCCUACAACAACCUAGUUGGUGUAAUUCCUACAAGUAAUAACUUCUCAAGGUUUCCACCUAACAGUUUUUUCGGAAAUCCUGGUCUUUGUGGCUAUUGGCUCAAUUCUCCUUGCAACGAGUCUCAUCCAACGGAGCGAGGUAUUCAUGGCCGUAAAUUUUAUUUUAUCAAUGCUAGGAGAGUAGCCCGCUGCUUUUAUGAUUAUAUUUUUUGGUUCAUUCUGUGGAGAAUAAAAAAAACUGUUAUAAACCUUAAAUUAUUUUGUCGGAUCAUGAGUAACACAUUCAACAUCAGAAUACUUUGCAUGAGAUUAAAAUGCUAGGAUCUUUUAUGCUGACAACAUAGGAAAUUGCACUUAUGAAUAUGCAUCUGCUAGCGCUAAUUGUUUUAUUAUGAAGGGAAUAAAUUCAGCCCUUCAAAUAUUAAGGCCUUCUAGUUGCAAUGCUGAAGAAACAGGAUUAUUAUUAUUUUCUUGCCACUGUCUAUGCAGUUACAAUUUCUAAAGCUGCUAUCCUUGGUAUCGCACUUGGAGCCCUUGUAAUUCUUCUAAUGAUCUUAGUAGCAGCAUGCCGACCACAUAAUCAAAUGCCUUUUCCUGAUGGAUCACUUGACAAACCAGGUACUUUCUAAAAUUUAUAUGAUAUUGUGCUGAUCAAGUUGAAUAACUUUGGGCUGUGGAUGAGGUUUUUGUUGAGUCAUUAGAUUGAGAUGUGCUGCACCUCCCAAUAUUAGAGAUUUAUUGCUCUGUUAAACUGACCAAAUGUUCUUAACUAUCUUAUGGAUCUUUCUCUUUGAAGUAAUCAUCAGAAAGUAAAGAGUAUAAGAAAUGCUUAUCAUGUUGCCUUUUUUUCCUGACUCAAAUUAUAACCAGAAAAAUUUUGAUCACCUGUCAAAUAGCCAAUAUUGAUUAUUCUAUGCCUGUUGAACAAGCAGUUACUUAUUCGACACCAAAGUUAGUGAUCCUUCACAUGAAUAUGGCACUCCAUGUGUACGAGGAUAUCAUGAGGAUGACCGAGAAUUUGAGUGAGAAGUAUAUAAUUGGUUAUGGUGCAUCCAGCACUGUGUACAAAUGUGUCCUUAAAAAUUGCAAGCCAGUGGCUAUCAAGAGGCUCUACUCUCACUAUCCUCAGUGCUUGAAGGAAUUUGAGACAGAACUUGAGACGGUUGGGAGCAUCAAGCAUCGGAAUCUGGUUAGCCUACAAGGAUAUUCCCUGUCCCCUUCUGGCAACCUCCUUUUUUAUGAUUAUAUGGAAAAUGGCAGUCUCUGGGAUCUCCUGCAUGGCCCUACAAAGAAGAAGAAGCUCGACUGGGAUGCUCGUCUUCAGAUAGCUCUAGGAGCAGCUCAAGGGCUAGCAUAUCUACACCAUGAUUGUAAUCCCCGCAUCAUUCACAGGGAUGUGAAGUCAUCAAACAUUCUGUUGGACAAGGAUUUCGAGGCUCAUCUCACUGAUUUUGGCAUUGCAAAGAGCUUAUGUGUGUCGAAAUCCCAUACUUCUACAUACAUAAUGGGUACCAUUGGUUAUAUAGAUCCUGAGUAUGCCCGCACCUCCCGACUUACAGAAAAGUCUGAUGUGUACAGUUUUGGGAUUG
rnacentral:misc_RNA from 1 species